CCUACGGGGGGCAGCAGUGAGGAAUAUUGGUCAAUGGACGAGAGUCUGAACCAGCCAAGUAGCGUGAAGGAUGACUGCCCUAUGGGUUGUAAACUUCUUUUAUAUGGGAAUAAAAUGUUCCACGUGUGGGAUUUUGUAUGUACCAUAUGAAUAAGGAUCGGCUAACUCCGUGCCAGCAGCCGCGGUAAUACGGAGGAUCCGAGCGUUAUCCGGAUUUAUUGGGUUUAAGGGGAGCGUAGGUGGAUUGUUAAGUCAGUUGUGAAAGUUUGCGGCUCAACCGUAAAAUUGCAGUUGAAACUGGCAGUCUUGAGUACAGUAGAGGUGGGCGGAAUUCGUGGUGUAGCGGUGAAAUGCUUAGAUAUCACGAAGAACUCCGAUUGCGAAGGCAGUUCACUAGACUGCAACUGACACUGAGGCUCGAAAGUGUGGGUAUCAAACAGGAUUAGAUACCCCUGUAGUC
rnacentral:rRNA from 1 species